UGAAUCAUGCACACCAUCUCAGGCGCUCACAACCUCCUUGGAGUCCCAGCAGUGUCACAAGAGUAUGGAGAGAGGACCACUACUUUCCUGGGAAGAGAGCUACUCGGAAGCCGUAAACAGGGGCUUUAACCUGAAACCUGGAUGAAAACACUGUGGUCAGGCAAGAGUUGGACGGUCUCCGAGCUCCUCAGGGGCCGGUGGAGCAGCCGCAGGGCUGGCGAGUUUGUUGCCAUCCGCCUAGAUUUCUAGUCAGUCAUGCCCUGCCUUGUUUCCAGAAGGAUCUGGGAACAUCGGAACAAGGAUCUAGCCCAUGAAGAUACACACACUACAGAAGAAAGCAUAAGCCUGGAACAGAUGAGCUACUGCACAUCACGGGAAAGUGAUUGAACCAUUUGGAGUCUCAAGUUUCUCAUGGGUCAAAAUAAAAACUGAUG